rnacentral:rRNA from 1 species
UACGGGGGGGGCAAGCGUUGUUCGGAAUUACUGGGCGUAAAGGGCGCGUAGGCGGUCCGUUAAGUUAGAUGUGAAAACUCUGGGCUCAACCCAGAGCCUGCAUCUAAUACUGACGGGCUAGAGUUCUGGAGGGGGUAGCGGAAUUCCUGGUGUAGCGGUGAAAUGCGUAGAUAUCAGGAGGAACACCGGUGGCGAAGGCGGCUACCUGGACCAUAACUGACACUCAGGGACGAAAGCUAGGGGAGCGAAUGGG